ensembl:lncRNA
UGUUCUCAACCUUUUUGAGUUUAUGAGAUGGAAGGAAAUCCUUUGAAAACAAGUUCUUAUUUACUCUUCAUACCAGGUGAAAAAUCAAAAGCAAGAAAUCAGACCUUCAGUGGAAGCAAAACCAACCACAGAUCUACACGUCACGAUUGCAGAUCAGCUUUGGAUUAAGCAGGUGGCUUGUUCGUGAUGGUUGUGGGAUUUGACGGGAGAUUGAAGACGCGCUAAACUUUCUUUGGGAACAUCUCUGACUGUUUACGACGAAGUGCUUUCAAGGCGUCCGAAGUGGACCGACAGCAGCGAGAGCGUCUGCAAGCACAGUGACAGAUGGGGAAGCAUCAGGCGUUUGUGUUCAUCGAGCACAACCGUGCAUGUCCCUUGCUGUUGUGUGGAUGGACAAGAGCGACCUGUUUAACAUUCCUCUCAACUGUGGGCUCUUCCAGAACCUGGUCUCAGAGGAAAUGGAUUUAAAGGGCAACCAGUAAGGAAUGUGACUCCUCAUAAUAUGGGCUCGGCAAGACCUCUGAUCACUAAAUGCCAAGCCGGCUCCUGUCGCUGUGCUGUAUGACAGCUUAAUAAUGGCUUUCCUAGGUGCACGUUUUCAUUUCACAGUAGAUCCGUGGUCCAGGUGCGUGGUCACAGACCCAGUCCUGACCUCCUCAGGUCCACAUUCAUGACGCCUGACAAAGCUGAGCCCUGUAGAGAUUUCAGAGCACGACUCAAGUGUUCAGUGCUGCAUUUUAGGUCUAGUUAUUUUUCUUCAAUCUUAAAUAUGACCCACAUAGAGAAUAGAUUCUUGUG